rnacentral:rRNA from 1 species
CAGCAGCCGCGGUAAGACGGAGGGUGCUAGCGUUGUUCGGAAUCACUGGGCGUAAAGGGCGCGUAGGCGGCCUGUUAAGUCGGAUGUGAAAGCCCGGGGCUCAACCCCGGAACUGCAUCCGAGACUGGCAGGCUUGAGACCGGGAGAGGAGGGUGGAAUAUCCAGUGUAGAGGUGAAAUUCGUAGAUAUUGGAUGGAACACCGGUGGCGAAAGCGGCUCUCUGGCCCGGAUCUGACGCUGAGGCGCGAAAGCGUGGGGAGCAAACAGGAUUAGAUACCCGAGUAGUCCCUGUCUCUUAUAU